UCAGCCAAAACGAGGCACGGCAAACAGCUCAGUAACACGUGGCUAAUCUGCCCUUGGGAUAGGAACAACCCCGGGAAACUGGGGCUAAUUCCCAAUAGGUGAAGAACUCUGGAAUGAGUCUUUGCCAGAAAAGAGCUUACGUUAUGCUCGUAAGUUUCGCCCAAGGAUGAGGCCGCGACCGAUCAGGUUGUUGGUGAGGUAAUGGCUCACCAAGCCUUUUACCGGUGCGGGCCGUGAGAGCGGGAGCCCGGAGAUGGGCACUGAGACAAGGGCCCAGGCCCUACGGGGCGCAGCAGUCGCGAAAACUUUGCAAUACACGAAAGUGUGACAGGGCUAUCCCGAGUGCCAUCCGCUGAGGAAGGCUUUUACCCAGUCUAGAACGCUGGGGGAAUAAGGAGAGGGCAAGUCUGGUGUCAGCCGCCGCGGUAAUACCAGCUCUCCGAGUGGUGUGGAUGUUUAUUGGGCCUAAAGCAUCCGUAGCUGGCUAGGUAAGUCCUUUGUUAAAUCCACCGAAUUAAUCGUUGGAUCGCGGGGGAUACUGCUUGGCUAGGGGACGAGAGAGGCAGACGGUAUUUUUGGGGUAGGGGUGAAAUCCUAUAAUCCCAGGAAGACCACCAGUGGCGUAGGCUGUCUGCUAGAACGCGCCCGACGGUGAGGGAUGAAAGCUGGGGGAGCGAACCGGAUUAGAUACCCGGGUAGUCCCAGCUGUAAACGAUGCAGGCUAGGUGUUUGGACGGCCACGUGCCGUUCUAGUGCCGCAGGGAAGCUGUUAAGCCUGCCGCCUGGGGAGUACGAUCGCAAGAUUGAAACUUAA
rnacentral:rRNA from 1 species